UACGGAGGGAGCUAGCGUUGUUCGGAAUUACUGGGCGUAAAGCGCGCGUAGGCGGCUUUGUAAGUUAGAGGUGAAAGCCCGGGGCUCAACUCCGGAACUGCCUUUAAGACUGCAUCGCUUGAAUCCGGGAGAGGUGAGUGGAAUUCCGAGUGUAGAGGUGAAAUUCGUAGAUAUUCGGAAGAACACCAGUGGCGAAGGCGG
rnacentral:rRNA from 1 species